rnacentral:rRNA from 1 species
GUUAAAAAGCUCGUAGUUGAAUUUCUGCUACAUUGCCUAUUCUCCUUUACGAGUUUGGGUCUUUUGUGGCUUAUCUGGGUUCGCUUGCGUUCCCGGUGUUUUACUUUGAGAAAAUUAGAGUGCUCAAAGCAGGCUUUUGCCUUGAAUAGUUUAGCAUGGAAUAAUAAAGUAGGACUUUGGUUCUAUUUUGUUGGUUUUAGGUACCAAAGUAAUGGUUAAUAGGAACAGUUGGGGGCAUUCGUAUUUAACUGUCAGAGGUGAAAUUCUUAGAUUUGUUAAAGACAAACUACUGCGAAAGA